AUUGAACGCUGGCGGCAUGCCUUACACAUGCAAGUCGAACGGUAACAGGUCUUCGGAUGCUGACGAGUGGCGAACGGGUGAGUAAUACAUCGGAACGUGCCUAGUAGUGGGGGAUAACUACUCGAAAGAGUGGCUAAUACCGCAUGAGAUCUACGGAUGAAAGCAGGGGAUCGCAAGACCUUGUGCUACUAGAGCGGCCGAUGGCAGAUUAGGUAGUUGGUGGGAUAAAAGCUUACCAAGCCGACGAUCUGUAGCUGGUCUGAGAGGACGAUCAGCCACACUGGGACUGGGACACGGCCCAGACUCCUACAGGCGGCAGCAGUGGGGAAUUCUGGACAAUGGGCGCAAGCCUGAUCCAGCAAUGCCGCGUGCAGGAUGAAGGCCUUCGGGUUGUAAACUGCUUUUGUACGGAACGAAAAGCCCUGGGUUAAUACCCUGGGGUCAUGACGGUACCGUAAGAAUAAGCACCGGCUAACUACGUGCCAGCCGCCGCAGUAACAC
rnacentral:rRNA from 1 species